GGGUUGUGAGGUUAAGCGACUAAGCGUACACGGUGGAUGCCCUGGCAGUCAGAGGCGAUGAAGGACGUGCUAAUCUGCGAUAAGCGUCGGUGAGGUGAUAUGAACCGUUAUAACCGGCGAUUUCCGAAUGGGGAAACCCAGUGUGUUUCGACACACUAUCAUUAACUGAAUCCAUAGGUUAAUGAGGCGAACCGGGGGAACUGAAACAUCUAAGUACCCCGAGGAAAAGAAAUCAACCGAGAUUCCCCCAGUAGCGGCGAGCGAACGGGGAGGAGCCCAGAGCCUGAAUCAGUGUGUGUGUUAGUGGAAGCGUCUGGAAAGGCGCGCGAUACAGGGUGACAGCCCCGUACACAAAAAUGCACAUAUUGUGAGCUCGAUGAGUAGGGCGGGACACGUGGUAUCCUGUCUGAAUAUGGGGGGACCAUCCUCCAAGGCUAAAUACUCCUGACUGACCGAUAGUGAACCAGUACCGUGAG
rnacentral:rRNA from 1 species